AGUUUGUGUCACGUUUCAAUUAUCUGGGUCAUGUUUGUAUGAUAUGGAAUCAUGGAAAAGUGAAAAUGAUAAAAUGAAUAUUGAAGUAAUAGGUCCCUACAUUCUGAGUUGAACGGUCCAUGGUAAACCGUCUAUGGUCAAAGAGAACACACUACCCAUGGUCACCGGCCAAUGGUCAACGGUCCAUGCUCAAAAGUCCAUACGUGACAAUGAUGGUCCCCGGGGCUGUGGUUUUCUGCAUGAUCACACUGUGGAAUGACUGUGUUAGCCUGGUCCUGAACACUCUCAUGAAGUCAUAUGUGGGUUGUUGACAAUGACCGUACUAUCGCCAGUUCCCGACAACAAGGUUGAGACGUACACACAUGUCGCAGGUUGUUGACAAUGAUCGUACUAUCGCCAGUUCCCGACAACAAGGUUGAGACGUACACACAUGACGCAGGUUGUUGACAAUGAUCGUACUAUCGCCAGUUCCCGACAACAAGGUUGAGACGUCUACACAUGACGCAGGUUGUUGACAAUGACCGUACUAUCGCCAGUUCCCGACAACAAGGUUGAGACGUCCACACAUGACGCAGGUUGUUGACAAUGACCGUACUAUCGCCAGUUCCCGACAACAAGGUUGAGACGUCCACUCAUGACGCCAGCUGACGACCCUCGUCAAGUGAUACAGCGUCUAUAUAGCCAGGGCGUCAAAGUGACUUAACAAAUUGCUUUCAGUAUUACCAAUACCUGCAUUGUAUUCUAUGAAUGCUUAAUUGUAGUUUUCUGAUGACGUGUUGUCCAGUAAUCGUUCAGUUCAUGAUGUUUAUGCCAAUAAAGCGUGUGGCCAGUAA